AACGCACCUUGCACUCCUUGGUAUUCCGAGGAGUAUGCCUGUUUGAGUGUCAUUAAAUUCUCAAACUUUUUUCCUCGUUAAUCUUGGAGAUAAGUUUGGAUAUGAGAGUUGCCGGUUUUUUCUUAAAUCGGCUCCCUUUAAAUGCAUUAGUAGUUUUGGCUUUGUUCCACAUUCUCAAUUGAUGUGAUAGGUUAUCUACAUCACUAGAGAUUGUAUCUGCUUAUAAUCGUCUAUUGACAAAUAUUGAUAAUUUGACCUCAAAUCAGGUAGGACUACCCGCUGAACUUAA
rnacentral:misc_RNA from 1 species